rnacentral:rRNA from 1 species
GUGGUCAAGCUAAUAAGGGCUUGCGGAGGAUACCUAGGCACACAGAGGCGAAGAAGGACGUGGUUACCAACGAUAAGCUCCGGGGAGUUGGAAGCAAGCGGUGAGCCGGAGAUUUCCGAAUGGGGAAACCCUGAGUACUGGCUGUUGAAUAUAUAGACAGUCAAGAGCGAACCCAGCGAACUGAAACAUCUUAGUAGCUGGAGGAAAAGAAAUCAAAAGAGAUUCUCCAAGUAGUGGUGAGCGAACGGGGAAGAGCCUAAACCAAAGUGCUUGCAUUUUGGGGUAGUGGGACAGCGUCAUCAAAUCGUAGAGUUAGACGAAGCAGCUAAGUACUGCACCAGAGAAAGUGAAAGUCUUGUAGUCGAAAGCUUGAAGAUAGUAGCUGAAUCCCGAGUAGCAGCGGACACGUGAAAUCCGAUGUGAAUCAGCCGGGACCACCCGGUAAGGCUAAAUACUACUGUGUGACCGAUAGCGAAACAGUACCGCGAGGGAAAGGUGAAAAGAACCCCAAUAAGGGGAGUGAAAUAGAACAUGAAACCGCAAGCCUACAAGCAGUGGGAGUCCGAUUCAACGGAUGACCGCGUGCCUGUUGAAGAAUGAGCCGGCGAGUUAUAGGCACUGGUAGGUUAAGUGAAAACCACGAAGCCAAAGCGAAAGCGAGUCUGAAGAGGGCGCGAAUCAGUGUUUAUAGACCCGAACCCUGGUGAUCUAACCAUGGCCAGGAUGAAGCUUGGGUAACACCAAGUGGAGGUCCGCACCGACCGAUGUUGAAAAAUCGGCGGAUGAGCUGUGGUUAGGGGUGAAAUGCCAAUCGAACCAGGAGCUAGCUGGUUCUCCCCGAAAUGUGUUUAGGCGCAGCGGUUGUGAGUAUAGCUGGGGGGUAAAGCACUAUUUCGGUGCGGGCUGCGAGAGCGGUACCAAAUCGAGAUAAACUCUGAAUACCCAGUGAAAACACAGCCAGACAGACGGUGGGGGAUAAGCUUCAUCGUCAAGAGGGAAACAGCCCAGACCACCAGCUAAGGUCCCCAAAUCAUCGCUAAGUGGCAAAGGAGGUGGGAGUGCACAGACAACCAGGAGGUUUGCCUAGAAGCAGCCACCCUUGAAAGAGUGCGUAAUAGCUCACUGAUCGAGCGCUCUUGCGCCGAAGAUGAACGGGGCUAAGCGAUCUGCCGAAGCUGUGGGGUGUAAAAAUACAUCGGUA